UCACUUCCCUUACAAUCACACACCCGUGAUUUUAAACAACAAUCCCUUGUGAAAAGAAAAUACUUUUCAAUUACAAACACUUGAUUUUACUUCACAGUUUCAAUCAAUAAGACACACUCUUGAUCUUGCUUCAAAGCUUUGAUUAAGAAGACAAUUCAGUCCAAUUCAAUCAUCAAUGGAUGACUUGAAUGACCUACAG
rnacentral:lncRNA from 1 species